rnacentral:tRNA from 1 species
UAAAAAUUAGUUAAAAUAUAAUAUUAAAAUGUCAUUUUAAAGUAAUUAUAAAUAUAAUAUUUUUAU